UGGGCCAUCUCUUUAGUCCAGAAAUACUUUUUAUGAAACAAAUCAGGGCUAGUGAGAUGGCUCAGC